rnacentral:rRNA from 1 species
GAUGAACGCUGGCGGCGUGCCUAAUACAUGCAAGUCGAGCGAACAGAUAAGGAGCUUGCUCCUUUGACGUUAGCGGCGGACGGGUGAGUAACACGUGGGUAACCUACCUAUAAGACUGGGAUAACUUCGGGAAACCGGAGCUAAUACCGGAUAACAUUUGGAACCGCAUGGUUCUAAAGUGAAAGAUGGUUUUGCUAUCACUUAUAGAUGGAACCGCGCCGUAUUAGCUAGUUGGUAAGGUAACGGCUUACCAAGGCGACGAUACGUAGCCGACCUGAGAGGGUGAUCGGCCACACUGGAACUGAGACACGGUCCAGACUCCUACGGGAGGCAGCAGUAGGGAAUCUUCCGCAAUGGGCGAAAGCCUGACGGAGCAACGCCGCGUGAGUGAUGAAGGGUUUCGGCUCGUAAAACUCUGUUAUUAGGGAAGAACAAACGUGUAAGUAACUGUGCACGUCUUGACGGUACCUAAUCAGAAAGCCACGGCUAACUACGUG